rnacentral:rRNA from 1 species
GGGGAAUAUUGGGCAAUGGGCGAAAGCCUGACCCAGCGACGCCGCGUGAGGGAAGAAGGUCUUCGGAUUGUAAACCUUUGUCAACAGGGAAGAAAGAAAUGACGGUACCUGUGGAGGAAGCCACGGCUAACUACGUGCCAGCAGCCGCGGUAAUACGUAGGUGGCGAGCGUUAUCCGGAAUUACUGGGUGUAAAGGGUGUGUAGGCGGGACGGCAAGUCAGAUGUGAAAAUCAUGGGCUCAACCCAUGAAGUGCAUUUGAAACUUUCGUUCUUGAGAGUGGGAGAGGUAAAUGGAAUUCCCGGUGUAGCGGUGAAAUGCGUAGAUAUCGGGAGGAACAUCAGUGGCGAAGGCGAUUUACUGGACCACAACUGACGCUGAGACACGAAAGCGUGGGGAGCAAAC